CGGUUUUUAAUUUCCUUCCCCACUUUUUUUUUCUUUACUUUUUUAUAGAGACAGGGGGUCUUAUUGUGUUGCCCAGGCUGGUCUUGGACUCCUGAGCUCUAGCAAUCCUCCCGCCUCUGCCUCCCAAACUGUUGGGAUUACAGACGUGAGCCACUGCACCUGGCCUAUUUCUUUCCCUUUCUGUGUCUUUUCAAUUUUUUUUUUAAACAAAAAGAGCAGUCUCUUUGAUCCAGAGCUUCAUAGGAGGGAAAAGCAAGUUGAUUGAAGGAAAAAUCUGUGGUCCGGGGAGAUGUUCCAAAUCCUGGAGGUGGAGAGGAAUGAAUGACGUUUGUGGCUUGCAGAUCAACUCCCCGCAGCGGGCGUGACGUCAUUGCAGCCAAAAUUGUCCUCCACGCACUGCUACGGCAGAGGAGCAACAAGUUGGAUGAGCAGCAGAUGAGUGAUGUCUCCUCGGUGCCCACCAGGAUUUCCUGUCCAAAGGCAGCCUUCAUUUCCUGCUCAGUCUGCCUGGCGCAUCGCAGCCUUGGCCCCAUUUAACAGCCUGGCAGAGCUGAAGUAGAGACACCCCCCCAGCUCCAAAUGGAAGUGAUGAUGCCAAGCAUGUGAUUAUCCUCACGAAUGAUCCCAGGGAGGACGGCAGGCUCAGCGAGGACAGAGGACACUUUCCAGUGGAGGCACUCACUGCAGUCCCCAGGCCGACAGGGGUGGGAGACCCUUGGCUGUCUAUUGUCUCUUAGUGUCAACUGAAGAGCUAUAAUCCCAGCGCUUUGGGAGGCUGAGGUGGGAGGAUCACUCGAGGCCAGGAGUUUGAGAUCAGCCUGGGCAACGUAAUGAGACUCUGUCUUUAUGAAAAAAAAAUUUUUAA